rnacentral:rRNA from 1 species
UGGGGAAUUUUGGACAAUGGGGGCAACCCUGAUCCAGCAAUGCCGCGUGAGUGAAGAAGGCCCUCGGGUUGUAAAGCUCUUUUAUUAGGGAAGAAGCAUUUUUUCUAAAUAGGGGAAGAUGUUGACGGUACCUAAGGAAUAAGCACCGGCUAACUACGUGCCAGCAGCCGCGGUAAUACGUAGGGUGCGAGCGUUAAUCGGAAUAACUGGGCGUAAAGGGUGCGCAGGCGGACUAGCAAGUUAUAGGUGAAAUCCCUGGGCUCAACCUAGGAACUGCCUAUAAAACUACUAAUCUAGAGUGAAGCAGAGGGGGGUAGAAUUCCACGUGUAGCAGUGAAAUGCGUAGAGAUGUGGAGGAAUACCGACGGCGAAGGCAGCCCCCUGGGGAAGCACUGACGCU